AAAGGAGAAAGGAGGAGCCAAGGAACUACAGGCCGGUGAACCUCACCUAUUUGCCUGGGAAUGUCGUGGAACAGAUCCUCUUGGAAGAGUCUUGGGUCAUAUCAACCAUUGGCUACUAGCAAUGUUCAAAGGGUUUUGCUCAUGUGGGAGCAGUGCUUGAAGAGCUACAGCCUAUGGGAAGCCCACAUGGGAUCAGUUCAGAAAAGACAGCAUCUGAUGGAGGAAGGACCCCAUGGUGGAACAGGGACAAAGUGAUGAUGAAGGAGCAGAAGAGACAAAGCAUUAAGGACUGGCUGCAGCCCCCUUUCCCUGUUCCCCUGCACUGCUUUUAGUUCUCACUGCUCUUGUUAUUGAACAACUCAAGCACCUAGAAAGUGUUCAUCCCUGCUAUCCAUUCUGCCAGGCUGCUGCAUCAAUUCUGUAUAAGAGGUACAUCAUCAAGUUUGCCUUCCAUACAGAAAGAGGACCUUCUGACAUUCAGGUGGAAUAGAUUAAAAAAAAAAAUAAUGUCACAGUAACAACAAAUUUAAACUACCAAGCUACCAGAUACGAUAAAAUAUUUUGGUUAUCAAAAUCUGUUUUCUUUGAUCACCCAGGCAGAAUGAGUUGGAAGAAACUGCUUUCAGAUCCUGCCAGCAUACUCUCAACACUAAGGACUAAGAUAUUGUGAAGCUGGUCUCUUAUGGACGGCAGUGGCCCUUGGUGGUUUCUACAGGGAUAGCUGCUGUUCAUGCAGCAUUUUUUGGAUGCAGAAGCUGAAUGACCUGCACAGCUCAGUGUGUGGACUUUCAGGAGCUUCUCUGCAAUACGGAAGCAGGAAAGCCUUCAAGAGAAAGAAAUUGUGUGAAUGCAUCUGUGAAGCAAAUUUUUUGUAUUGUGUACAACACUGAGGUGCAAGUCUUCUCUUAAAUUACAAGCUGUUUCUCCAUGCAUUGGCUGCUUCAUAAACAUGCUUAAUGCUACACUGUUCCCAAGGGGUACCUGACUGACCACUCUCUGGUCCUUAGCUGUGCAAUAUGUGCUCAAUUCCAGCAAUCUAUGAAGAUGAGACCUGAGUGGCAUGAUCCACUGGAGUGUCUUGAUUUGUUUUGCGAGAAAUUCAGAUGUAUGAACUGGGAGAAGAUGAUGGACUUUUCUAAUAACUCUGUUGUUCUGAUCAGGGCUCUGGAGAUGUUACAUCUCUGAUGUCUGUGUUGUUUGGAGAACUUCAUUACUGAAGGGACUCAAUCAGGUACAGAUAUCAGCACAGUUGUGGAUGUACUGAAAUCACAUCAGGGCUUAUAUUCCACCUUGUGUACUCUGAGCUCCUGCAGUUUAAAUGAUACCUAGCUGGUUGAAACUGGCUCAGACGGACCUGACCCUGCUGGCUGCAGUCAUGGCAUCACACACCUAAUCAGAGUGCCUAGGCUUGAAGACCUAGAAUAACGGCUUGACACUAUCAAAGUCAAUGAGAUAUUGCCAUUAGUUCUAUAUGUCUUCAUAGCCAGAAAUCUUUCUAAUUUCACCCCUAUUAAUGCUAAUGUCAAUGCAAAAAACUUGGAGAAACUGCCUGUUUGCAUCACUACAUUAAAUCUU